CAGCGGGGAAGCGCCGAGGCUGCAUUGAGGCCUGGUCGUUUGCAAAAAGGCAAAGCUGCAGAGAGAGUACCAGCCAUUUAUGGUUCCUACUUAGCAUGCCACACUCCCUGCCUGCCCCACAAGAGCAGAAAAACUCCAGUUUGCAAAAGCAGCUGGCUCCUGCAUUGAUGUGGGGGGAAAGAUGACCGUCUCUGAGCAAACACAGAAGUCCUCCAGGUUGCAAAAGGAAGGAACUGGCUUCUAGUUUGAACUAUGGAGAAAAGGGAUGGAGCCUGUGCAACCUGAGCGCCUCCCGUUUAUAAAGCCUCUGGUUAUAUGUGAAGAAAGAGGCUAGGUGUCUCUGAGCAUGUGCAGAGUGCCUUCCCUUUGUGAAAUGAGCCAAUUUCUUGGACACGUUGCUGGCUUCAUGGGCAAAAGGCAAUGGAGUCUCUGCUCAUAUUCAGAGUGCCCCGUGGAUGACACUAGUUUUGGUUUUAUGCAGGAAAGGACAAGGUGUCUCUGUGUGAGGUGACUGCCCUAUGUUAAAGGAACGUGGGAAGCUGAGUCAGAACACUGGUCCAUCUAGCUCAGUUUUGUCUGCACAGACUGGCAGCGGCUUCUCCGAGGUUGCAGGCAGGAGUCUCUCUGAGCCGUUUCGUGGAGAUGCUGCCAGAGAGGGAACUUUGGACCUUCUGCGUGCAAGCAGGCAGGUGCUCUUCCCAGAGCGGCCCCAUCCCCUAAGGGGAUAGCUUACAAUGCUCACAUGUAGUCUCCCAUUCGAAUGCAAACCAGGGUGGACCUUGCUUAGCAAAGGGAACAAAAACCCCUCCUGUAUUCUACCGAAGACAACCACAGGGCUUUGUGGUCUCCAGGAGUCGACACCGACUCAACAGCACACUUGACCAGAAGACCAGCUCUCCUCUGGCCUUAUAGCAAGACCUGAGAAGGAGCUGACUUCCUGAUUUUUUUUAAAAAUAGUUAAAAACAACAACUAUGGGAAACACCUCUAUCGGGCAGCAGCGAUAUAGGAAGAUUCUGAAAAGCAUCAUCUCAUACUGCGCGGGAGAUGGCAAUGGUCAACCCCUCCUGUAUUCUACCAAAGACAACCACAGGGCUCUGUGGGCGCCACAAGUCGACACCGACUCAACGGCGGAACUUUACCUUUAGAGGAGCAUGUGUAGAGUGUCAGCUAUGUGAAAGGAGUUGGUUUCUUCCUAUUUUCUUGCAGAUUUACACACAUGCACACCAAUGGUGUCCACACACCCCCCCGUUUACUUUCCCCUGUAUAAGUAAAUGUAUGCCACUCACUCCUAUGUGGAAAUUUGCAACAAAGCAUGACCAUUUGUAUGCAGUAAGGACAAAACCAAUGUUACACCUUUUACUCUGUGUGUCUCUCUGUGUGUGCGAUCUGACAGACGCACGCACACUGGAAAAGAAUGUGCAUUGCACAACGUCCUCCGCCCCUUUAAGUGCUUUCUCCCCAAACAUUUCACCAGUCAUGAUGGACCUUUUGCUAGGCUUGAAACCACAGCAACAUGUGUAGAAGGAUCACAUUUCAGAAUGGGAACUUUGAGAUCUGCUAAUCUAACCUACUGCGCUCAGUGCAGGAAUUUUUUUAAUGAUGAUGAGGGUGAUGAUGAUGAUGAUGAUAAACAACUUUAUUGGUUAGCUGUCCCAUUACAAAUUGUUCUCUUUGCAGCUGACAACACAACAUCAAAACAUGAGAUUAAAAUACACAACAAAUUAAAUCAUAACAGACCAAAAAGAGGGGAGUGGGAUACAAAAUACAAUUCAAAACAAUUUAGGGAGGGGGGGCUUUAACCCUUUAUAGUUUUUAAACGAUCAGUUAAAAUCAGAUCAAAAUUUAAAAUUUUUAAUAUUUUAUAUAAUUUAAUAAAAUGGUGUUAAAGGCCAAAUAACACCUUCCUUUAAACAGCAAACACUAUUUUUUCUUUCUUAACUAGCAUACGCGGGGGCCUUCAGGCCUGCUCAACUUAAGGCCUCAUUAAUUUCUGUAUGUAAACCGCUUUGGGAACUUUGGUUGAAAAGCGGUAUAUAAAAACUCGUCAUAUUCAUAUUUUGAAAAGAGCUGUGAGCCUUACAGAUGGAUAACUGGAGUGCCCGUGGAUAAAUACUGGCAGACAUGGGGUGACCUGCAGAUAUGUUGGUGUUUAAAAAUUCUGAAGGAAAAAGCCCCUAAGGGGGUUAAAAAAAACCCUAACUGCCUCCAUAUUAGUCAAUGGGACAGAAUGUUUGGGGGACUCAGAGGGCAGUUAACAGACAAGCAGUUGGAUGGAGGGAAUGGAACUCUAGGGCAAAAAGAGGAGGAGGACUUGAACAAAGAGAGUGGCACAUGUAUCAGCUUGAAGAACACUCCUUCAGGACAGGGAACUCUGAGGGGGAAAGGAGAGUAAAACUCUUGUUUUCUCACUUGCUGUUUCGCAGCAUUGUGUUUCUCAGGGGAAAGGGGUCCUGAUUACAAAAAAAACCCUGGUGAAUAAAAUAAAAGUUGCAUAUGAAAUUAGACCCAAGUUAGAGGAGCAACUCCUCUUUUUGUUGCCAAUUUUUCUUUUUUCACCAGGUGCAGGUAACACUUGCGCACCAGGAAUCUGCUGCAAGGUUGCGUUGUAGGCCCAUCCUUGUAACAUAUAAUUAAUUAAGGAUUUAUUAUUAUUGUUUCUUUUCAGCAGGGUGGGACUCGACGGCUCUUCUGGCAACUCCUGUAGCACAAAUCCACCCCUGACAACACCCCAGGGUUUCACAUGCUCUGCCUACACAGAAUUCUCCCGCACUUUUGAUUCCCUUGGCAUUCAACCUUGUCUCUUACGCUGGGGUCGGCGUGGCCGUCCGCAUCAAACCUCUGGAUACCCCCACGGCGAUCCAGCGUAGCAUCCUCACCAUCCCAGCUCUGCGGUUUCUGAAUGCGUCCAGAGGCUGCCGUUCAGGAUCUACUCACCCCUCCGGUAUUUUAAUCUAAACACGGGCGACAGCAUGUUAUUAGACAAACUCGCCUUGCAGAAAAGGGUUUCAGCACCUCGCCUGACUUGUUGCUCUAAUAUGCAAAUGAAAUGCCGUGCGGGAAGAUCCAGAAGACAAUUCCUAAUCUCCAUGGUGGCUGUGUCAGGGAUGGAUGUAUCCUGUCAAGGAAAGGUCAGAGGUCUUCCAGUUCUCAUCCCAGGGGAUUCGACCCAGGUGUGGUGGGCUCUCCGGUAGCCCACGCUAAAGGUUAUGGCGACGAUGGAGUGCGAAGGGGUGAGCGAGAAAGAGAAGGAAGAAGUAACGGAGGAGGUUCCGGAGGAAGACAAAGCUCUGAUCGAGUUCUACAGCUCCUUCAAAGACCUCUUUGAGUUCUUCUGCCUCAACACCACCAUCCACGGCACCAUUCGCCUGGUCUGCUCCAGCCGCAACAAGAUGAAGACGGCCUUCUGGACCCUCCUCUUCCUCGCCAGCUUUGGCAUGCUCUACUGGCAAUUUGGCAGCAUCUUUAACCAGUUCUGGUGUUACGGGGUGGCCAUGUCCAUUUCCGUCCACUCCGAACCCAAGAUGUUCCCCGCCAUCACCCUCUGCAAUCUCAACCCUCAUAGGGUUGGAGAAGUCGAGAAAAGUAUUAUGGAGUUGGACAAUCUGGCAAAAGAGACACUGAAGAGUUUAUACAAUUUCGACCUUCCAGAGUAUGUCCUGGGAGACGAGGAGAACUGGUCAACAGCAAACGCGAGUGGAAUCAACGGCUCCAGCUUCCAACUGGAUCGCAGCAUCGCUCUGGUGAAGCAGCCCUAUGGCGAAGUUGGGUUUCGGCUGUGCAACGCUACCGGUGGAGAAUGCUACAACAAGAACUACUACUCUGGGGUAGACGCCGUCAAUGAGUGGUACCGUUUCCACUACAUGAACAUCAUGUCCCAGGUCCCACCCAUGUUCAACUUCGCCAGCGCCGAUGAUCACAUCAAUGAAGUGGUCUUCGCUUGCCAGUACAACGGAGGACCCUGCCGAAUCAAUGACACUGAACACUUCCAUCACCCCAUCUAUGGAAGCUGCUACACAUUUAACAGUAAUGGGACAGAUUACUUCUGGAGUGCCCUCAAGCCAGGGAUUCUAUACGGGCUAUCCCUUAUCCUAAAAGUGGAGCAGAAGGACUACAUACCCUUGCUGUCCACCCAGGCAGGCAUCAAGGUGAUGAUCCACAACCACAAUCAAACUCCGUUCUUGGAGCAUGAAGGUUUCGAUAUCCGGCCGGGAGUUGAAAGCACCAUAGGGAUCAAACAGGACAAGGUGAAUCGCUUAGGGGGUAAUUAUGGAGACUGCACACAUGACGGGACGGACGUGGACGUCAAACUAAUCUACAAAAGCAAUUACACAUUGCAGGCAUGUCUGUAUUCCUGCUUCCAGCAGAUGAUGAUUGACAAGUGUGGAUGUGGAUAUUAUUACUAUCCUCUGCCUGACGGGGCGGAAUACUGCAACUAUAACAAGCAUCCGGCUUGGGGUCACUGCUUCUAUUUGCUGUAUGACAAGCUUGCUGACCAUGACCUCCCGUGUUUCAGCCUGUGUCCCAAGCCAUGCACGGAGACAGUGUACACACUUUCGGCAGGAUACGCCAAGUGGCCCUCAGAAAGAUCGGAGAAUUGGAUCUACGCAGCUUUGCAAGCCCAGAACAACUACAGCACAAUCAGCAACAAGAGCGACAUUGCCAAAGUGAACAUUUUCUACAAGCAGUUGGACUACAACUCUUGGGACGAAUCGCCUGACUAUCCCGUUUCUCUCGCCAUGUCCAACAUGGGCAGCCAGUGGAGUCUCUGGUUUGGCUCGUCCGUGCUGUCGGUGAUCGAGGUCUUUGAGUUUGCCCUAGAUGUUGCCAUCUUGUCCCUUAUCUACUUCUACAAGCGGUUGCGGGCCAAGAAGCACCGGAUCAACCACCUCCCUCCGGUCCCAAGCGUAAGCUUGACUCUGGAGAAAUACCGCUACAUGGAGGAGGGCCUGACCCGGAGCCCUAACACGGCGAAACCUUAUGCCCAAGAAGCCAGCGACAACCAAAGAAACGGACUUCCUCCCUACCCAAAAGAUAACAAGUGCCGAUUUCCGGAAUUAUACUCAGCAGGCGUGGUGCUCAAUGGCUUUAAGCAUCGAAAUGACCACUCUGCAGACACAGACACCAAUAGGUAAUGCUGUCUCCUCCAGACAAGAGAGAUACCUUCAGAACGCCAGUUUCGACCUCCAGAAGUGCACAAUACACCGUUCCUGAGAACUAUCCCUUUCAGGAAGGCUUGUGGCCAGUAGAGGAAGUUGCAACCUUUGACCCUGGAAGCAGCCAGAGGUUCGGGGCUGAUGGGAUUGGCAUCAGAGAGGAGACAAUGGUCUCUUGCUUUCCCCAUCCCCUUCUUCAGACUGCCCCAUGACGAGUGGCUAGACUAGAUGGCACCAACGCAUGGAAGGUUAAGGAGUCCGUGACAAAUCUGCCUGAUGUUCAGGUCUUGGGACGAAUCGCCUGACUAUCCCGUUUCUCUCGCCAUGUCCAACAUGGGCAGCCAGUGGAGUCUCUGGUUUGGCUCGUCCGUGCUGUCGGUGAUCGAGGUCUUUGAGUUUGCCCUAGAUGUUGCCAUCUUGUCCCUUAUCUACUUCUACAAGCGGUUGCGGGCCAAGAAGCACCGGAUCAACCACCUCCCUCCGGUCCCAAGCGUAAGCUUGACUCUGGAGAAAUACCGCUACAUGGAGGAGGGCCUGACCCGGAGCCCUAACACGGCGAAACCUUAUGCCCAAGAAGCCAGCGACAACCAAAGAAACGGACUUCCUCCCUACCCAAAAGAUAACAAGUGCCGAUUUCCGGAAUUAUACUCAGCAGGCGUGGUGCUCAAUGGCUUUAAGCAUCGAAAUGACCACUCUGCAGACACAGACACCAAUAGGUAAUGCUGUCUCCUCCAGACAAGAGAGAUACCUUCAGAACGCCAGUUUCGACCUCCAGAAGUGCACAAUACACCGUUCCUGAGAACUAUCCCUUUCAGGAAGGCUUGUGGCCAGUAGAGGAAGUUGCAACCUUUGACCCUGGAAGCAGCCAGAGGUUCGGGGCUGAUGGGAUUGGCAUCAGAGAGGAGACAAUGGUCUCUUGCUUUCCCCAUCCCCUUCUUCAGACUGCCCCAUGACGAGUGGCUAGACUAGAUGGCACCAACGCAUGGAAGGUUAAGGAGUCCGUGACAAGUUGAGUGACGAAGGCCAUAUUGCUGGAACUCUUCCAGGCUCAGGAUCCUAGAGUGUGCUUUGGAGGGUAGCAGGUCCAUUGACGGUGGCCGCUCUAGCCACAGUCCUCUAUGGUUUCAGUCUGGGGAGGCUGUGUUGGUUGCCGCGGCCUGGGUAGAAGAGGCUCGGGGCUUCUCAUGACCAGAGAUUUGGGGAAGGAGGGCUCUCCUCUCCACCACCCUCAGUUAAAAGCUGGGUUCGAAAACUGGGUAUCCCUGCCGGGAGUGACUUCUGCUGGGGGGGGUCAUGUGAGAGUUCUGACAAUAAGGGCAAUCUGAGUAGGCCCCAUCCCACCAGGAUUUUUAAUGCUCGUGUGAACCAGCCUAUUAUCUGAUUAGUUCCUGGAUCAACUUGAAAAUCUCUUCUCAAUAUAUUUGUCAUUCUAUGGUUAGAUCUGCCUGAUGUUCAGGUCCCUUAACCUGUGAUUUCUUUUCAAGCGUUAUGCAAUCUUCUCUCUUGAGAACUCCGAAGGUGCUACUUUGGGGGUGGUGGGGGGGAGGGAUUUCAGUAGAAGUACCUGGCUGCAGUCCAGCCCCCUAUAAAAGGCGUGAUCUCAGCUUCCUGUUCAAGCUCUCACGGGGAAACCAGAUUCAGCUGGGCAUCUCCCGGCUUGGGCCGGCAUCAUUUCACCGUCGUCCCUGAGUUAAAUGUUAAACCGCCCACACAUUAAAGAAUGUACCCAAGUGGACAUUUAUGAGGAUAUGUUCUGUCUGUUAACGGCUCCGCUGGGAUCCCAGGAGGAUGCAGUGACAUUUGACCAUUCUAAUUGCCGUCUCACAUUGAAAAUACCUUUUCUGUUUGGAUAGCCGUCAUUUUAUACUUGAAAUCACCCGUUUAAAAAAAGCGCAGAUCAAGGACCAUAUUUUUUUAAAAACUGUUUGUGUUCUUCCUUUUACAAUGCAAAGUUCAGGGGUGUUUUAUGGGAUGUUCUCCAGGCAGGAGAGGCAAAACAGGAGCCAGAACGCAGGACUGGCCCGAGAUAUUCAGUGCCCUCUCCAUCCCCAGCACAGCAUCCCUCCAGUGGCUGUUGCUGGUGUCUAUCCUAUGUUCCUUUUUUAAGAUUGUGAACCGUUUAGGGACAGGGGGCCAUCUUAUUUAUUUAUUUAUUUAUAUCGAUGCCGACCGCUUCAGGAACUUUGGUUGAAAAGCAGUAUACGAACAUUCGUAUAUACUGAAUAUUCAUAUUUGAAUAUUCGUUUCAGAAUACGCGAAUAUUCACACACACGAAUAUUCGUAUACAAGAGUACGUAUUUGUAUAUGUAUUCCGAUAUUCGUAUUUGUGUUCUGCCUUUCCCCACGACUCUGGAGGGGGAUCGCCUGUUCAGAAACAACUCUUGUGAGCUCUGAAAGGGGCACAGGGGGCAGAGAGGAGGGAAGGUUGGUGAUGGUGGGGGAACAUUUUGCCACCCUGCUGGUGCUCCAGGAAUCUGCCAACCGAGGAGACUGCCUCACCUUGCCUCAUGAAAGGGCCACUCCUGUAAGUGAGGUAUGAGAGACAGAAUGAGUGGCAAAGUCUCCGAAUGCAAGUUCAUUUGGGUGGUGUCAACUGAGGCCCCAACGUCACCCCCUCCAAGUACCAAAGAGAACAAGGGUGUGCAAUGGUGUCCCCUUUAUCAGGGAUUCCCAGAUGGUGUUGACUGCAACUCCCAUCAUCCCCUGCUGCUGUGACUUUUGGCAGGGGGUGAUGGGCACCUGGGAAUCCCUGUGACUGGUGUGCAAUCUACUGACAUUCAACAUUAUAGGGCUCUUUAAAACCCUUUGUUUAUUAAUGUUCUUGUUCUUCUUCUUGUUAUUAAUAUUUAUAUACCACUUUUUAGCAAAAUGAAAUGUUCUCAAAGUGGUUUCUGCAGAAAACGAUGAUGCAUAUGGAUGCAUUGGUAAUGUGAAUAUUUGACUGUAAUUUAUUCCGGAUGCAUGCACGUACGAGCGAGAGAAGGAAGUUGGGAAAUGACUUCUGUGUGACAUUCAAUAAUGGAUUUUUCUUUUAUUGUAUUGUUUUUUCCUCCCUUGCCCUCGUUUUGAGAAUGCAAUCAAGCAACUUGCACUACAUAUUUUGUAAUCUUCCGAUCGUAAAAUGCCAUGGAUACCUUUU